rnacentral:tRNA from 1 species
UGUAAUUAGAUGUUAUGAUGCAUAUAGAAUUUUGAAUUCUAAAGUAAAGUUUAAUUCUUUAAUUUACAA